AUGGUAGAAGUGCUGACAAAACAUUACUAAUAGCACCUCUACCAGAGAUUGUUAAAAUGUGUAUUUACUCAGGUGCAGCAUUAAAUAAGAGAUGUGAACUCACCAUAGCAACUCCUGCAUCACAUUGCAGAUAUGCUGCUUCUAAGAUACGGCAAACGUUUCUGAAGAAACAUACCUGAAUAUGAGGCCUCCUUCUGGUGUCCCUGCACAAAUACUGCUG
rnacentral:lncRNA from 1 species